AUUGAACGCUGGCGGCAUGCUUUACACAUGCCAGUCGAACGGCAGCGCGGGCUUCGGCCUGGCGGCGAGUGGCGGACGGGUGAGUAAUGCAUCGGAACGUGCCCAGUAGUGGGGGAUAGCCCGGCGAAAGCCGGAUUAAUACCGCAUACGACCUGAGGGUGAAAGCGGGGGACCGAAAGGCCUCGCGCUAUUGGAGCGGCCGAUGUCGGAUUAGCUAGUUGGUGGGGUAAAGGCUUACCAAGGCGACGAUCCGUAGCUGGUCUGAGAGGACGACCAGCCAAACUGGGACUGAAACACGGCCCAGACUCCUACGGGAGGCAGCAGUGGGGAAGUUUGGACAAUGGGGGCAACCCUGAUCCAGCCAUGCCGCGUGCGGGAAGGAGGCCUUCGGGUUGGAAAGCGGUUUUGGUCGGGAAGAAAACCUCUGGGCUAAUACCCCGGGGGGAUGACGGUACCGGAAGAAUAAGCACCGGCUAACUACGUG
rnacentral:rRNA from 1 species